rnacentral:rRNA from 1 species
GAUGAACGCUGGCGGCGUGCCUAAUACAUGCGAGUCGAGCGAACGGACGAGAAGCUUGCUUCUCUGAUGUUAGCGGCGGACGGGUGAGUAACACGUGGAUAACCUACCUAUAAGACUGGGAUAACUUCGGGAAACCGGAGCUAAUACCGGAUAAUAUUUUGAACCGCAUGGUUCAAAAGUGAAAGACGGUCUUGCUGUCACUUAUAGAUGGAUCCGCGCUGCAUUAGCUAGUUGGUAAGGUAACGGCGUACCAAGGCAACGGUGCAUAGCCGACCUGAGAGGGUGAUCGGCCACACUGGAACGGAGACACGGUCCAGACUCCUACGGGAGGCAGCAGUAGCGAAUCUUGCGCAAUGGGCGGAAGCCUGACGGAGCAACGCCGCGUGAGUGAUGAAGGUCUCCGGAUCGUAAAACUCUGUUAUUAGGGAAGAACAUAUGUGUAAGUAACUGUGCACAUCUUGACGGUACCUAAUCAGAAAGCCACGGCUAACUACGUG